UUCUCACUAUCUCAGUUGGUUGAGCAUGAGACUCAAUCUCAAGGUUGUGGGUUUGAGCCACACAUUGGCAAA